UACGUAGGUGACCAGCGUUGUCCGGAUUUACUGGGCGUAAAGAGCGCGCAGGCGGUCGUUCAAGUCGAGUGUGAAAGCCCCCGGCUCAACUGGGGAGGGUCAUUCGAUACUGAUCGACUCGAAGGCAGGAGAGGGAAGCGGAAUUCCCGGUGUAGUGGUGAAAUGCGUAGAUAUCGGGAGGAACACCAGUGGCGAAGGCGGCUUCCUGGCCUGUUCUUGACGCUGAGGCGCGAAAGCUAGGGGAGCAAACGGG
rnacentral:rRNA from 2 species